GGCCUACCAUGGUGGUAACGGGUAACGGGGUGUUAGGGCACGACACCGGAGAGGGAGCCUGAGAAACGGCUACCACAUCCAAGGAUGGCAGCAGGCGCGCAAAUUACCCAAUCCCGACACGGGGAGGUAGUGACAAUAAAUAACAAUACGGGGUUCUUUCGGAUUUCGUAAUUGGAAUGAGUACAAUUUAAAUCUCUUAACGAGGAACAAUUGGAGGGCAAGUCUGGUGCCAGCAGCCGCGGUAAUUCCAGCUCCAAUAGCGUAUAUUAAAGUUGUUGCAGUUAAAAAGCUCGUAGUUGAAUUUCGGGAUCGACGGGUCGGUCGCGCCUCUGGUGUGUACUGGCCCUGUCGGUUUCUCCCUUCUGACGAACCACGAUGUCAUUAAUUUGGUGUCGUGGGAAAUCAGGACUGUUACUUUGAAAAAAUUAGAGUGUUUAAAGCAGGCAUUCGCUUGAAUACAUUAGCAUGGAAUAAUGAAAUAGGACGUUUGAUCUUAUUUUGUUGGUUUCUAAGAUCGACGUAAUGAUUAAUAGGGAUAGUUGGGGGCAUUAGUAUUCAAUUGUCAGAGGUGAAAUUCUUGGAUUUAUUGAAGACUAACUACUGCGAAAGCAUUUGCCAAGGAUGUUUUCAUUAAUCAAGAACGAAAGUCAGAGGUUCGAAGACGAUCAGAUACCGUCGUAGUUCUGACCAUAAACGAUGUCGACUAGCGAUCCGCAAUCGUUGUUCAUAUGACCUUGCGGGCAGCCUUCG
rnacentral:rRNA from 1 species